AUUCCAGCUCCAAUAGCGUAUAUUAAAGUUGUUGCAGUUAAAACGCUCGUAGUCGGAUUUCGGGGCGGGCCGACCGGUCUGCCGAUGGGUAUGCACUGGCCGGCGCGUCCUUCCACCCGGAGACCGCGCCUACUCUUAACUGAGCGGGCGCGGGAGACGGGUCUUUUACUUUGAAAAAAUCAGAGUGUUUCAAGCAGGCAGUCGCUCUUGCAUGGAUUAGCAUGGGAUAAUGAAAUAGGACUCUGGUGCUAUUUUGUUGGUUUCGAACACCGGAGUAAUGAUUAACAGGGACGGUUGGGGGUAUUCAUAUUUACAUGUCAGAGGUGAAAUUCUUGGAUUUUGGAAAGAUGAACUACUGCGAAGGCAUUUACCAAGGAUGUUUUCAUUA
rnacentral:rRNA from 1 species